AAGGAUCAUUACCUAGAGUUGUAGGCUUUGCCUGCUAUCUCUUACCCAUGUCUUUUAAGUACCUUCGUUUCCUCGGCGGGUUCGCCCGCCGAUUGGACAAUUUAAACCAUUUGCAGUUGCAAUCAGCGUCUGAAAAAACUUAAUAGUUACAACUUUCAACAACGGAUCUCUUGGUUCUGGCAUCGAUGAAGAACGCAGCGAAAUGCGAUAAGUAGUGUGAAUUGCAGAAUUCAGUGAAUCAUCGAAUCUUUGAACGCACAUUGCGCCCCUUGGUAUUCCAUGGGGCAUGCCUGUUCGAGCGUCAUUUGUACCUUCAAGCUCUGCUUGGUGUUGGGUGUUUGUCUCGCCUCUGCGUGUAGACUCGCCUCAAAACAAUUGGCAGCCGGCGUAUUGAUUUCGGAGCGCAGUACAUCUCGCGCUUUGCACUCAUAACGACGACGUCCAAAAGUACAUUUUUACACUCUUGACCUCGGAUCAGGUAGGGAUACCCGCUGAACUUAA
rnacentral:rRNA from 1 species